rnacentral:rRNA from 1 species
AACGGACGCUGGCGGCGUGCCUAACACAUGCAAGUCGAGCGCGAAAAGGGCAACCUGAGUAGAGCGGCGCACGGGUGCGUAACACGUGGGUAAUCUGCCUUAGAGUCGAGGAUAACCUUCCGAAAGGUUGGCUAAUACUCGGUAAGCUUACGGUGUCUUCGGACGCUGUGGGAAAAGUAGGCCUCUGUUUACAAGCUUACGCUCUGAGAUGAGCCCGCGGCCCAUCAGCUAGUUGGCGGUGUAACGGACCACCAAGGCAACGACGGGUAGCUGGUCUGAGAGGACGAUCAGCGACACUGGAACUGAGACACGGGCCAGAAUCCUACGGGAGGCAGCAGUGGGGAAUUUUCCACAAUGGGCGAAAGCCUGAGGGAGCAACGCCGCGUGUGUGAUGAAGGUUUUCGGAUCGUAAAGCACGUUCGACUGGGACGAAAAACCUUUGGCUAACAUCCAGGGUCCUGACGGUACCAGGAGAAGAAGCACCGGCUAACUCUGUGCCAGCCGCCGCAGUAAAAC